rnacentral:rRNA from 1 species
UACGGGGGGGAGCAAGCGUUGUUCGGAGUUACUGGGCGUAAAGGGUGUGUAGGCGGUCUUCUAAGUUUGGUGUGAAAUCUCCCGGCUCAACUGGGAGGGUGCGCCGAAAACUGGGAGGCUAGAGUGCGGGAUGGGAGAGUGGAAUUCCUGGUGUAGCGGUGAAAUGCGUAGAUAUCAGGAGGAACACCGGUGGUGCAAACGGCUUUCUGGACCGUAACUGACGCUGGAGAACACGAAAGCCGUGGGGAGCAAACAGG